CGUGCGCCACCACCGCCUGGUUGAAGUUGGUUCUUUCCUUCCACCAUGUGAAUCCCUAGGAAUGAACUCAGAUCACCAAGCUUGGUGGCAGGUGCCUUUACCCACUGAGCCGUCUUUUCUAGCUACAGAGUGAGGACUUUUACAGGCUUGAUUAAGGCUCGAAACCUACCUGACCUCAUCAGUGAGCCCUUGAAGGAGAUGGAGCAAUUUCCAGCAUAUAAAUAAGAAGUAUGGGAGGGAUGAUGAAGGGGACCCCAUAGUAAGAACGUAGGUGGCCUUUGCUGGCGAACAGCAAGGAAAUGGUGACCUCAGUCCAUGAGGAACUGAAUUCAGCCAACAACAUAAGUGAGUUGGCUCUUAGUUAGGAAUACAGGCAGCUGGCAGCUGGCGUUAAGACACAGUCACGUCAGGCCGGUGCUUCUGACCUAAGAACACUGCAGGGCAGAGGCAUCCAAUGCACAUUACUCGGCCAUAUCAGAGAUUUCAACAGAGAACAAAUACAGGCGGUGGUGAGAGAAGAUCAUGUUUGAGGAGAGUGAUCAGGGGCUUGCUGCUGAGCACGAAGAAGAAAAACCAAGCCAAGGCGGUAUUGGCGCCCUGGGAUGAGGUGAGGAAGAGUGGACAAGCCACUGGCGGGAGUUGAGCUUGACCUGUGUCACUCGGGACGUCAAUGGAACGCCUACAGAGGCCCUGAAUAUCCAAGUCUUGGGGCUGGAGAUGGGACGUCCCCACCGACUUGGGCUGAGUGGUGUUAGCCUGUUAUCCAAGCACGCAGGGAGCUGAGGCAGGGUGCUAACCCCAUAAGAGCGGGAACUUGGCCGGUCUUGUUCAACGUUACUGUGGUAGCUAGUCUCCAAGAUGUACCCUGAGGAGCCUCUUUUUCUGGUGCCCAUACCACUGUGUCGUCAUUCCAGACAGAUUUGGCUUCCCCGAAUGAGCGCUGCAGACUGUGGAAGCAGUAGAAUGCGCCUUCUGAGGCACUGUGUUUCCCAUCUUACUGUCUCGGGUCCCCUACUCUGGGCUGUCUGGAAGCCAUGAUGAAGACUCUUAGGGAUCCAGAGAGGCGCACUGAGGCUUGCUGCCCAUGGGCAGACAAGGAAAUGAGCUGCAUUAGAAUGAAUGGUCAAACCCAUCAAGCCCGCUGGUGACCAUUUCCCUGCGUCAUCGUGGAAGACCCUAAUACAGAACCCACUUACCUAAGCCAUUCCUGAAGUCCAGCAUCCCCAAACCAUGAGCUAAUACAUGCUUGUCGCUUUAAACCAUGGAAAUUAAUCUUGAAGCCUUAGUUGCAUAGCAUGACAUUUAUAUUAGUGUUGACCAAAAUACAUGCUUAAUUACUAUUGGUUAAUAAAUACAUUAGGUGCUCAAUAAAUAUAAAACACGUGGU